rnacentral:rRNA from 1 species
UACGUAGGGUCCGAGCGUUGUCCGGAAUUACUGGGCGUAAAGAGCUCGUAGGUGGUUUGUCGCGUUGUUCGUGAAAACUCACAGCUCAACUGUGGGCGUGCGGGCGAUACGGGCAGACUGGAGUACUGCAGGGGAGAUUGGAAUUCCUGGUGUAGCGGUGGAAUGCGCAGAUAUCAGGAGGAACACCGAUGGCGAAGGCAGAUCUCUGGGCCGUAACUGACGCUGAGGAGCGAAAGCGUGGGGAGCGAACAGG